GACUUCCUACGGGGGGCAGCAGUCGGGAAUAUUGCGCAAUGGAGGAAACUCUGACGCAGUGACGCCGCGUAUGGGAAGAAGGUUUUCGGAUUGUAAACCAUUGUCGUUAGGGAAGAAGAAGUGACAGUACCUAAGGAGGAAGCUCCGGCUAACUAUGUGCCAGCAGCCGCGGUAAUACAUAGGGAGCGAGCGUUAUCCGGAUUUAUUGGGUGUAAAGGGUGCGUAGACGGGAAAUUAAGUUAGUUGUGAAAUCCCUCGGCUUAACUGAGGAACUGCAACUAAAACUGAUUUUCUUGAGUACUGGG
rnacentral:rRNA from 1 species